CUGAGCAUCCCGGGAGGGCGGGGCCCCCAGACAGGAAGCGCCGUGAGUGCCCGCGUGGAGCGGAGCUCCGCCUCCUGCGACCCGCCCCCGACCGGGCUGGGGGCGGGUGGGGACUUUGGGCUCCCGGGCUGUCCCCGCCGUUAGCUCGCUCUGAUUCAAAACGAGGUAGACCAGAAAAAAUAAAAAGUACAGUCAAUAAAGUAAAACGAGCUAUGCCAGAAGAAAUCCUGAAAAGCUGGGCGAGGACAAAGUUCACGGGAAGGCGGACACCUUGAGACCAAGUGCCCCGUCCCCGGGAGAGGCGGCCACACCCGUGAACAGCACGGUUCACACCGGGGCCGCUUCACGCUGCCGUUGUCUCCCCGUCUCAAGGGCUCCUCUGACUCACCGGGACAACUGACAUCGGGGCCCGGACAGAGCGAAGUUUCCAGUGUGCUGUCCACCAUCACCCGGGCCCGGGCCCCCGCCUCACAUGCCCACCUGGGCCCCCACGAGGGGACCCGCCAGCACCGCGAACGGACGCGGCCCUACCUCUCCAAACCACAGCAGCGGCAGGACCACCGGCUCGAUGCUCCCCGUUUGUCUGGAAAUGAGCAAGACACGGGAGAUGCCUGGAAUGCAGAUGCAAUGGCUGGAGCUCCAGCAACUAUUUGGGUCAGAGGCGACCUCGAGAAUGGAAGCAAUGUCCAAGAAAACAGAACAGAAGGAUGGAACUUGGACCAUGGAUGUCUUUGGGGAGCUGCCACACUGGGACUGUCUCCCUGCAGACAUCUUCUAAAAGGAGAUUUAAAAAAUAGCAAUAAACCUUUGUCCCAUUUGA